rnacentral:rRNA from 1 species
GAUGAACGCUGGCGGCGUGCUUAACACAUGCAAGUCGAACGAUGAAGCCCAGCUUGCUGUGCGGAUUAGUGGCGAACGGGUGAGUAACACGUGAGUAACCUGCCCUUGACUCUGGGAUAAGCCCGGGAAACUGGGUCUAAUACCGGAUAGGAGCGCCUGUCGCAUGACGGGUGCUGGAAAGAUCUUUCGGUCAUGGAUGGACUCGCGGCCUAUCAGCUUUUUGGUGAGGUAACGGCUCACCAAGGCGACGACGGGUAGCCGGCCUGAGAGGGUGACCGGCGACACUGGGACUGAGAGACGGCCCAGAACCCUACGGGAGGCAGCAGUGGGGAAUAUUGCACAAUGGGCGAAAGCCUGAUGCAGCGACGCCGCGUGAGGGAUGACGGCCUUCGGGUUGUAAACCUCUUUCAGCAGGGAAGAAGCGAAAGUGACGGUACCUGCAGAAGAAGCACCGGCUAACUACGUG